rnacentral:misc_RNA from 1 species
GAAAAAUUAGAUUUGUUUGCUUUAAACUUAUAAGAGUAAUCUUGAAAUAAAGGUGCUUCAUUCCUUUCUUAGCAUAUUAGGUAGAACUUAUGUCAUAUUUUCCUUUAUAAAUGGCCAUGUAUCACUGAAAGUGUGGAAGAAAAAGCAUGAAAUGAAUCUAAUUUCUAGUGGAAAUAUCUCUUUUAUUCUUAGUUUUUCUUCAAACCCAAUACAAGCAGCUUUGGAAAGUUUCAAGUUAGUCAGCAAUUGAGUGGACUCCCUUCCUCAUUCUUAAC